rnacentral:lncRNA from 1 species
GGGGCGGGACAGCUCCUCCGGGGCCAGCGGGCACCAGGCUUGGGGGCUGAGGCCCAGCGGCCCGAGACCAACUGGGCUGACCGAGGCCGCCUCCCCGCCAGCCCUGGGGUCCACUGCCCGGGGAGCAGCUCCCUUCCCAGGUCAGACUCGGGCUUCAUCCUCUCUUGCCGCGCGCCGAGCGGUUUUCAACUCUCACUGCUAGAAUUCCUCCAACCACCCAGGAUAGCAGGACCGAGAUACAUGGCCACCCAUGACCCGGAGCGUCCACUUCCAGGGACAGGCAGUGGUGAUUGGCUUCGGUUGUCAUCUGUGCCAUCUGUCCAUGGUUCGAGAAGCUGCUGUUCACGUUUUGGGGAGGAUCAUGGUUUGAGGGCUCCCGUGGUAGAAUUUGGGGAGCUCUCAUAGGCAGAAGGCUGAGAAAAGUUGGUGCUGUGGGAAGUCAACUGGCAGCCGAUGGAGUCGGGACCCGGGAGGAAUGGAAAGGGAACCCAGAUAGGAAGCUACUGCAGUAGGCUCAGAGAGGUGAUGACGGCAGGGCUAAGACAGCGGCCUUGGGCGGUGACUGGGAAGAACGUUGAACACCGUGUUUGGGCUGAAGAAAAGAGCAAGGGAAGAGUCCCAGCUGCUCUGGAGUUUGAGGCAGGAGGAUGGCUUGAACCCAAGAGGUGGAGGCUGAAGUGAGCCAAGAUCGCGCCACUGCACUCCAGCCUGGGCGACAGGGCAAAACCCUGUCUCUAAAAAGAACUUUUUAAAAAAGCACCUGUAGAUUUAAGCACAUAAUAACUACACUUUUGUCUGUUUUAUUAUGAUAUCAAAGUUAAAUUUAUGAUGAAUGACUAACUGGACAAAACUGAGAGCAACCACCACAGAGGUGAAUAUACUGAAUGUAUAACACUCUCUAAUAAUUUUAAGAACUCCGCUCUAAUGAGCAGAUAUCACAGAAAGAGACUUUUCAGAUGAAAUACCGAUGACCAGGAAAUCUGUGAGACCAUUUUAAAAAAUUCGAAGUCAUUGAAGAAAUGCAAAGCUUCCAGGCUCCACUUUUCACUGAUGAAAUUGGCAGAGUUUGGGACAAUGAGAUGUUGCUGUCCCGGGAGUGCGGAUGGGGCUGUGUCCUGUGAUGGCGGUGGGCACUGGCACUCUUGUCCAGAAAGACAUUCACCACUGUGGUUCAAGAAGCACCUCAAAGGUCUUCACCUUGGUCCCUUGUCCACCUCUGCCCGCGGUCUCUCCUCCUUUCAGCCUCCUCUUUCCCACACAGUCCCUCCCGCCCUGGCUUGGUCCCCUUUCUUCUGACUGGGUCAGGCAUGUGGGUGACUCUUUGACUUCCAAGGCUCUGUCUACUUGGCUUUUUUCUUUCACCUGUUCUGCAGAAUAACAGCCUGAUUCGUUCCUCUUUUUGGGUCCUUCACUUCCAUACCUGGGAUUCGGGGCGUGGCCCAGAAAGACCCUGCAGUCUUGCAGUGUGGGGCUGCCAGCAUUUCAUGGCCUCCAAGCUCAGCUGGGCUGAAUGAACGCUGCCAUCCAGCGCUUGGCUCAUUUUCUGUCCCAUUUUCCUGAGUGCUUUUGCCAGACUUACACUUUUCUGAAAGCUACUCCACCCUACCCCAGACACACCCUCUCUCCUCGGAUGACCUGCCUCCUAAUUUCCUGAGAAAACUGGACAUGGCCACCUUUCCCCAGUGUCUGAGGCCCAGGUUGACCCGUGGUCAUGGUCGCUGUCACCACCCACCUGCCUGUAUGACAGAGUGAGACCCUGUCUCAAAAAAAAAUAAAAAGAAUGCCUCAUGUUAGGCUGGGUGUAGUGGCUUAUGCCUGCAAUCCCAGCACUUUGGGAGGCUGAGGCAGGAGGAUAGUUUGAGCCCAGGAGUUCAAGGUCAACCUGGGCAAGAGAGGGAGACCCUGUCUCUACAGUUAAUUUUUAAAAAUUAAGGCAGGGCAUGAUGGCUCGUGCACGUAAUCCCAGCACUUUGGGAGGCUGAGUCAGGACGAUUGCAUGAGCCCAGGAAUUCAAGACCAGCCUGGGCAAUGUAGAGAGACCUCCAUCUCUACAAAGAAUUUUUAAAAAUUAAGGCAAGGUAUGGUGGCUGAUGCCUGUAAUCCCAGCACUUCGGGAGGAUGAGGUAGGAGGAUAGAUUCAGCCCAGGAGUUGGAGGCUGCAGUGAGCCAUAAUCACACCACUGCACUCCAGCAUGGGCAACAGCGUAAGACCCUAUCUGAAAAUACAUAAAUAAAAGAAAAAGUUAGCUAG